ensembl:snoRNA SNORA74 Small nucleolar RNA SNORA74
CCCAGCGGCAGUCAGCUGUGCAGGCCAACACCAUGCCUGAACCAGUGUUACUCUGCUGGGAGAUGAACGCACAGCCAGCACGGCGCCACUCAGCAGCUCCCGUUUUGGGGGCCGUCUGAUGCUGGGCCACGGCGAUGCGGCGUUUCCUCUUGAGAGUGGAUUGGCCUGCUGUUAGUUGGGCGCCAUCCUAGUCUGGGAAUGUACACA